UACGUAGGGUGCAAGCGUUAAUCGGAAUUACUGGGCGUAAAGCGUGCGCAGGCGGCUUCUCAAGUCAGGGGUGAAAGCCCAGAGCUCAACUCUGGAAUUGCCUUUGAGACUGAGUGGCUUGAGUACGAGAGAGGUGAGUGGAAUUCCCAGUGUAGAGGUGAAAUUCGUAGAUAUUGGGAAGAACACCGGUGGCGAAGGCGGCUCACUGGCUCGUAACUGACGCUCAUGCACGACAGCGUGGGGGAUC
rnacentral:rRNA from 1 species